UACGUAGGGGGCAAGCGUUGUCCGGAUUUACUGGGCGUAAAGAGCGUGUAGGCGGCCACGCAGGUCCGUUGUGAAAACUGGAGGCUCAACCUCCAGCUGUCGACGGAAACCGUAUGGCUAGAGUCCGGAAGAGGAGAGUGGAAUUCCUGGUGUAGCGGUAAAAUGCGCAGAUAUCAGGAAGAACACCAAUGGCGAAGGCAGCUCUCUGGGACGGUACUGACGCUGAGACGCGAAAGCGUGGGGAGCGAACAGG
rnacentral:rRNA from 1 species